GCCAAGAUCAUACCACCGCACUCUAGCCUGGGUGAUACAGUGAGACUCUGUCUCAAAACAAACAAACAAAGAAAAUUAUGAUAGCCUGAGAAUUGGGGGAUGAGGAUUUUGGUUGUAGGCCUUUUAUGAUAAUUACCCCUCAGUGGUGUGUAGAAAAAUAUGUAAAUUUCCUCUAUUUCAAGACUUCAAACUACCACAGGAAGAAAAGUCUGAUACAACAUUUGUAAUGUUUCCAGAGCUCUCAGAAUGGGUAUUUUUUGGUAAAUAAGUCGGAAGAGGACUAAAGUAUCUUGGGUUAGUCUAGUAAUAUUUCAGUAGGAUCCUUAGGUUGAUGCUGACUUCUUUUGGGGAUAAGUUUAUAUUUUGUGUGGUGUUUCCUUUUUUUUUACAGGGAUGUAGUAGGAGCAGUGAUAUAUGAUACAUUUUGCCACGUUCUGCAGUAAUGAAGAUGUUUAAUGGGGCAGACGCUGUUUUCAGUAGCAUGACAAUGGGCGCACAGCUUCCAGCUAAACUUUUUUCUGUUCCCAAAUGAUUGGGUGGACGUCAUCUCCACACUAACAUGUUUUGAAAAAGUAUGGAAAUUAUUCCUCUGCUGUCUGUAAAUGCCCUCUUCAUCUUAAUGCCUAUUAUCAAUUUGUUUCUCAAGAAACAAUUGAAAUGUAAGUCUUUGUUGUCCCCCAAUCACUUUGUUUUGACACACUGGUGGGAAAAGUGGCUUUCAAGAAUAGUAAUUUCAACUUUGAUUUUACGCUUCACUUUGGAAUACAUGUUUAUUAAAUGUGCACCUCACCGACAGAGUAAUCAAUACAGAUUUUGUAGUACAUUAUAAGAAAACCAUGUCUGAGAUUAUUAAAGAAGUUAAAUGCUUUUAGUUUUGCUUACUUGAGCAAUAUGUGAAAAUUAACAGUUUAAACCCUUUCACGUAUCUGACCAGGCUUAGUCUUAGUCAGAACUCAUGGUUUUUUGGGGGGUUCUUUAUCUUUCUUUUCUGUUUUUUUUUUUUUUCUAAGUAAAGUUUCAUAUACUUUAUGUGGUUAGCAUUCAUCUAGUAAACAUUAAAUUGCCUGAAAUCCUAAUUUUAAAGACUAACAUUUAUGGAGAGAGAUUCACACUUAGAUGGGAGACAGAAAGCAAAAGGAAAUUGAUUGAGUGGCUGCAGCUUUCCCUGAAAAGCAGUGCUGCAUUUCCAUCACAUUCCAGAAACCUUUAUAGAGCAAGAAAGAGAGGUCAUCCAGGUCUAACUGUGCUAAGGACCAAUGGAUCCCAGACACAAAUAUAUCUCCCAUGCACCCAGAAACCUCAUGAGAAUCAGCCAAAGCCUUCUUCGAACAGCUGUUUCUCAACAAUUCAGGAGUUUAUCUACCUAAUAAAAAAGUAACUUGGCAGGAAAAAAAAGGCUGAGACUCUCAAUAGACUCUUCUCGGGCCUAGUGGAGCCUGAAGAACUCUUCAAAGUCUUAGUCAACAGUGAACAGAGGAAUUUGAACCAGCACACUCAUCUAUACCACAAACAAGUUGCCGCGAGAGCCAGAGACGGGUCAAUUUUUACAUGAACAUUUUUUUCCCAGGUCAAAUAAAGGCAGAUUCAAAUAAAAUAGGCCAAGUCCAAGGUGGAAGAUUAUAACAAAAACUCAGGGAACAGGAAAGUGAUUCUUUGCCUCCAAUAUAAUAUCUCACAAGCAGUUCCCACUAACACAUUCAGUUAACUCAGGGAGUAUUUCAAUUCAUGGGAUCUAUUUUUCGUAAGUUUUCCAAAUGGACAUUUUUAAAAGAACAACUUACAGUUUGAUUGAUUGAUUGAUGUGCUAGAAGAACUAACAUUUUAAAAAGCUGUGUAUUUCAGAAGUAUUUUUAAGAAGGUAGUCAUACUCAAAGAUAUUUGAAAUGCAGAGACUGUUCAUUCACACCUAGAUCUUAAUUUCCUUUUUUCAACUCAGACCCAGCGUUCUUUAGACACUAUAGGCAGACUAUACGCAUAUGAUGUAUACAUAAAUGCACAUAAUCACAGCAUUUGGUUGUGACAAACUAGUUUUACUAAAAUGGAAGAUUUAAUAGAUGAAAUGAGGAAAUAUGUCAAUGUAAUAGCAUAUUAGAUUUUGCAAAUGAGCUAUUCCUAAGGCAACAUGAAUUGUUUUGCUUUUAUAUUUCCACAAUCGUUUGUUCAUUUGACAACUAACAUUCAGAAUCCAUCUUUGAUCUUGGAGGACUUGUACAAAUCAAAGUAUAAUAAAUCGUUACACUUGGGGGACUCAAGGUGACAUUCGACAAAAGCUGUCUUCUGAAAAAGUCCUUGGUCUGUUAGAUAUACAGACCUUCUGCAAGACCUGGUGUCAGGGCUAGUCCUUAGCAGACUUGAAAAGAGGGAAAACCUGUCUUUAGGGCUUUCAACAUUACUCUGUGCCCCAUUUCCCAUCAAGCAUCUGGGACCCAAAAAUUCUAGUUUCCACGUAUUGAGGAUUUAUUAUGUGACACACACUUACAUGUAUUAUUUCUGAUCCUUACAUCAACUUGCAGGAUCAGAAUUUUAUCCUCAUUGCAUAGAAAAUGAAGCUCAAUGAAUCUCAGUACAUCUUCUAAGAGGCAGAGCUGGGUUUCAACCUUGGGUCUAACUUCAAAGCCCCUCCUGAAGCCAAUGACAUCAUCAUGUCUCAGCCUGAGGCUUCCCUGUGGAGUUCACACCCAAACUUGUUCUUCCUGUUUUGACUCUAGAUUCCCUUCCUGGAGCUUUGGCUUGGGACAGUAAUCAUCUGAAUAUAGGCAGUAAUGAUUUUUUUUUUUUUUUUUCUGUGAGGGGGGUAGAACGGAAAGCAUAUAUGCUCCCACCUCUUCUAUUAGUUUUUAUUACAAAUUCUAUUUACUUUCUGAUAGGGACAUUUUGGAAAUGAUACCUUUACCCAGAGGAAUUGUAACAGGAUAAAUUUCGAACAGAAUGGCAUAUUGUUGAUCAGGCAGACGGCAUGACUGCCAACUCGGCAUGCUGCUAACAUUAGCCAUUUGUGUUGUGAAAACUCCUGUUAGCUUCUUAGAGCUACAAAGCCUGUGAUGAGAAAUUGUCUUUAUUUUGCUUUGUGAAUAUCUGCCAUUUGAUUUUCACUUUACAACAUAAACUGACAUCUCUUGGGCUUGUAACAGAAUUUUUCCACUGUGAAUAAGUCCCCAAAAGCACUCUGGGUUGGUAGAACAGCCCGAUGUUCUGUUAAAAAUCACUGGAAAUUAAUUUCUAUUAAAGACCCAGCUUUGAAAUUUACUGUGUUACUUUGGGAAAGCCACAUCACCUCUCUACACCUUCAGAUGUAAAUGGCUGUCAUGAGGAUCAAAUGAGAUUCCAGUUUUACAAAAGGUUUUGCAGAUUGUUAAGAAUUAUACAAAAGUAAGGGCAUUUCUGGGCAUCAUUUUGAAUCCUAUUCAUUCCUUCCUGAGAAAUAAUCUUGCAGUAUAAGGCAUUGACUUGCAUCUUCCAUCUGUGCUAUCCUUUGACCUCACCCUAUGAUACUCCUUGGAUCUUCCCUCUAAUUUACCUCUGCUCUGCCAAUAAUCAAUAUGGCAAGAGCUUCAAACAUUUUCUUCUUGGAUUUCCUAAUUCUGACCAAUGGCAAAUCCUGAAGUUAUUAGGUAUCAAGGGCCCUUUUAUCAAAUCCUUACAAAGAAGCUUUCCUUUUUGUAAUUUUUUCCCUUUUCUAUCAGUUAAUAGUUUAUCUUUCGUAAUCACUGAUUAUUGUGAUUAUUGUCUACUUGGGAUAGAAGGCAGGGAUUAACAGAACCGUAUGAGGAGCGAUGAAUGAAGAUACCUCUUUCACUCAUCCUUUCUUCCCAUUUGCUUCUCAUUUGGGGGUAACAGGUACCUCUCAUGCCCAUUAGUCUGAUUCUUUCUCUAAAAAGUACCUUAGUGCCCUCUACAGGUUGUGUGAAUUUCUCAUCCCAUGAUCUUGUUAACAUGUUAUGCCUUCUCCCUUAACUCUCUCCUAAAACCACUGGUGGCUAGGUUCUUCCCAGGGGUGCCGGAUUCCAGGAGGAUUGCUUAUUUGUAGUAAUCUCUGAAUUGUAUUUAUCUAAUGAGAGAAUUGAAGAAUAUGGUGAUUUCAAUCUUGUUUGCAAUUUGAGGGAGAGAAUUGAUCCCAACUGUUUGGCAUGUCAGUAGUUACUAGGAGACCAUUUACAGGUGAUAAGCUACAGAAGACAUUUGCAGGUGAGAAAUCUGAAACCGAAAAAGGUCAAAGUUUGUAAGGCUUCCGAAACUAUUCUGUGGUAGUUGCAGGGCCAGAAUCUAGGUCUCCCAGCAUUUAUUCGCACAUUCUUCCUUUCCUUUGUUUUGCAUAGUUUCUUUUCCAUAUUUUCAAAAGUUUCUGUUUUGUCCUCCAGUUGUGUAUCUCAAAACCUACCCUAAGGAGCUACUAACAUCAUCCAUUUGGCUUCAGUAGGUAACUGAUGGAUUAGGUCUUCCAGCAUGUCAAAAGGAUCUGCUUGGUAAUGCUAAUCCAAUUUGUAACCACAUCCUUGUGCCAUUGCAAAUGUCUCAGAGGUCAAAAGUAUAAUUUAGUGAGAACUGGAAAGUGCAGCAAACAUGGGAGAGGGCUCAUUUCUUGAUUUACUUGAAAGUUGCCUAAAGCAAAGGACUCCAACAUACAACUUUGUAAUGAGCUUUGGAUUGAAAGGCAGAAAUCUGUUGGCUUUUCCUAGCCUUUACGGGCUGGAAAUUCUUGAACACCUUCUCAACUUUCUUUUUUUUGAAAUGUCAUUCACUCAUUCCCAAAUUAAUUGACAUCAUCAGCGUGGAGUUUAUCUUGCUCACUCCAAAUGCAGAAUGUCCACUGACUCAAAUCCUUAAUCAUCCAAGAAUUUGGGACUCAUGAAAGCUUUUCUUCUUUGAAAUUAUUUAGAGAUUUGGAAUACAA